UAACGACUCUCGGCAACGGAUAUCUCGGCUCUCGCAUCGAUGAAGAACGUAGCGAAAUGCGAUACUUGGUGUGAAUUGCAGAAUCCCGUGAACCAUCGAGUCUUUGAACGCAAGUUGCGCCCCAAGCCUUCUGGCCGAGGGCACGUCUGCCUGGGUGUCACAAA
rnacentral:rRNA from 3 species